GAUUAUGGCUCAGGAUGAACGCUAGCUACAGGCUUAACACAUGCAAGUCGAGGGGCAGCAUGUGGUUGCUUGCAACCAAUGAUGGCGACCGGCGCACGGGUGAGUAACGCGUAUCCAACCUUCCCCUUAGUAGAGGAUAGCCCGGCGAAAGUCGGAUUAAUACUCUAUGUUCUUCAAUGCGGGCAUCUAAGUUGGAGCAAAGAUUUAUCGCUAAGGGAUGGGGAUGCGUCUGAUUAGGUUGCAGGCGGGGUAACGGCCCACCUGGCCUACGAUCAGUAGGGGUUCUGAGAGGAAGGUCCCCCACACUGGUACUGAGACACGGACCAGACUCCUACGGGAGGCAGCAGUGAGGAAUAUUGGUCAAUGGGCGCGAGCCUGAACCAGCCAAGUAGCGUGCAGGACGACUGCCCUAUGGGUUGUAAACUGCUUUUAUCAGGGAAUAAAGUGAGGCACGCGUGCCUUUUUGUAUGUACCUGAUGAAUAAGGACCGGCUAAUUCCGUGCCAGCCGCCGC
rnacentral:rRNA from 1 species